CGGCCCCGCGGCUGGUGGGUCACCGGGGGGGGCGGACUCCUCCAUUCCGAGCCCUGGGGGGGCGGUGAGCCGGACCCCUUCACUCGCGGGACAUGUAUACCUCUGAGAAACCUUUUCCAAGAAGAUACCUUGGUUCUGUACCUGUCUCAGGCUAUAUGCAAAGAAGUUUCCAGUCAUGAAUUCAUAUGCC